rnacentral:misc_RNA from 1 species
GAUGAAGAACGUAGCGAAAUGCGAUACUUGGUGUGAAUUGCAGAAUCCCGUGAACCAUCGAGUCUUUGAACGCAAGUUGCGCCCGAAGCCAUCAGGUUGAGGGCACGUCUGCCUGGGCGUCACAUAUCGUUGCUCGAUGCCUAUCGCAUUGCGAUAGGACUUAGGGCGAAUGAUGGCUUCCCGUGAGCGUUGUUGCCUCGCGGUUGGUUGAAAAUCGAGUCCUUGGUAGGGUGUGCCAUGAUAGAUGGUGGUCGAGUUAGCACGAGACCGCUCAUGUGCAUGCUCCCCAAAAUAUGGCCUCUGUGACCCACACGCGUCUUUUGACGCUCAUGACGAGACCUCAGGUCAGGCGGGGCUACCCGCUGAAUUUAAGCAUAUCAAUAAGCGGAGGA